rnacentral:lncRNA from 1 species
CAUUCCCUCUGUAUGCUGUGACAGGCAAAUCCGUUUCUGCAAAAUGCACCUUGGAGAGAGCACAGCAGACAACUUUCCUAAAUGAAGGAGAAACAGUAAUGAGUGGUUCUGCAGAGGCUCCCUCACUAGAUGCUCUGAACUGACCCUGACUCACUGCUGGAUGGGGGCUGGCACACUGACUCGUUUGCCUUGUGAAUCUCUUAUCUGUAUUUGAUGUGGUUUGAAACAAGGUCUCAGACAUGGAGAGGGUGAUGGAAGGUCUGCAGGAACACGUGGCAGUGCUGUUCGAGCCACAUCCUGCACAGUCAAGUUGUGCAGCUUCUGCUCAUGCCUCAGGACACCAGAGCUACGAUCAAGUCUGGAAGGAGAUCUAUGAGCUCUACCAGAAGCUGCUGCUUUGACAAGUAUAAAAGCAAGUUCCUGUAUCUGCAUCCUCAUGUUUCAUUUGGCUCCCUCUGCCCAUGUCCACCUGCCUGCACCAGUGGGCUCUGGGGCGAGCGUGCCUGGGGAUCCUGAACUACUUCAGGUCUGUGGAGAGAAGCCUGACCAUCAGUACCGCUGGCCUCUCCUUCAAGGCUGGUCACCUAAUUCCCAGUGCAGAAGACACCUUGGUCUGCUGCCAAAGGAAGCACUGGUGCCUUCAAUGCCCUGAGUUCACAGCUGUAUAUUCACUACACACCAGCGGACUACAAGCACAGGACCACAGCACUCAAUUCACAGAGUUUGCAGAGGUGAAAAACCAUGAUGACUUUUACACUAGUGAAGAAGGAUAUAUUCAUACACAGGACCAGCGAGGGGUUUACAUAAUAUAUGAUGUGGCUUUAGAGGACCUGAAGGAGCUCGAGAACCAGCUGCUGCUUGUGGCCAGCCAGUACAUUAAGAAAGAUAACAGCAAUGUAACUUGUGAGCAAUUCAGUGGCAGCAAGAUCCUUGGCUGGGCAUAUGCCUCUGUGGAUGGAUGUGCUGUGCUGCUUGACCUCUGGACCUGUGAAACUGCCCUCUUGGGAAAAAAAUGCCAGAUAAAUGCCCGGAGGGAAUACAGCCACAAGAUUUGACAGGAAGAUCAGAGAGGUUGCAUUGCUGAAUUUGGACUUUCUUAUAAUGUAAUUACUAAGCAAUCUUAACACUAGCUGGUAAGUAAUUAUACAGUUUUAUUUUUCUGGAGAGUACUACUUUCUGCCCUAGUUUCUGUGAGUGAUUGUAAAAAUUUGGUACCCUGCACCUGAAAAUAAGACU